rnacentral:sRNA from 1 species
AUUUUGGUGUAUUCCAACUACAUUCUGUAUUUAAUAUGCAAAAAAAACUUCAUCAUCCUGUAUCUUAAAAAAAGAAGAAUUCAGUAACCUUGCCCAGUGAGUUGCACCAGCAGUGUUAGUGUACAUUCAGUACUGAUUAUGAAACAAUUGAAAAACAUCUUCACAUAUAGGAUUGGCCCCUAUCAGCUAUGACCUAAUCAAGCCACUUCACUGAGUAAGGGAGAUAAUCAGCUGUUCCCUCUUCUGGUGGCAGCCCUUAUCUUAUUCCCUUUACGGACUUGAUAACUGCCAUUGGUAGAAAAGAAGAAACGCAGACAGACGUGGGAAGAAUCUUGCAUCAAUGAACUUCUUCUACAAAUCUCUGAAAAAUUCAUUAUCAAUGUCUCAUGUUGGAUUUGUGAAUGGAAAUUGCAAGUUUUCUGAUAUUCUGCUGCCAUUAUACAUACAGAUAGGAAAUCUGGUUUUCAUUUGAGGUUUCUAAGAGGUGUGGGAAUAUAGUGGGAUAGCCAAACCCUCACACUGGUUUAGAGCAUAACUUUUUAGAUUCAAGCCAUUGCUCUGACAUUCUUUCAUUAACCAUUAUUUGACAAAAAAUUGUUGUAAAUUUAACUUAUUUUCUUAGGCAUUUCUUUAUUUCCUGUGUCCUUUAUCGUGAGGGCAAAUAUAGGGAGAGGAUUAAAAGCUGAUAAAACGUCUGAGUUUGACAAGCUACUUGUCAUUGUAAUCCUUCAACUCUUAGUGCUGAAAAUCAGACUGUCUAUGCUCUAUUAAACACCAAAUGCUAUUAAUUUUAAAUUAAUAUUUAGAAGCACUUUUGCACAGUAAAAUGAUUUGAUAAUUUAAGGUGAUCUGCUCCACUGGAGAUAAGUCCAGGUAAAUUCACUUGAUGUAUAAUGUUUUGUGCUCUAAACGUCAUUCUCAAAGCACAAAUAGAUCUGAAAUUUAAUUUGUAUAUUUAAUUUUCUUUUAUUUUUUUAAAAAGAUAGUAGUUUUAAGUAUGAUAUACAGUCAUUUGUAAGGCUGCUUAAUCAAAUGAGACUUUGAAAAAAAAAAAAAAAAAACCCAGGUUUUUGAUGUUGUUUGGUUUGUCAAUAGAUAACAGCAUUUUUUUUGGAGUCAAGGUAGAACAAGGCUUUGAAUUAUCUGUGUGACAUUGUAAUGUGUGUCAUACAGUCUGUUAAAGGGGAGAUCUACUGGUCAGAGACCCUGGAGCCAAAAACUCAGUGUUAGGGUACAGUUUGGGGUGACUGACCCCCGUCAAAUUUCAGAGAUAAGAACCAUUGAUCACCAUUUAUUUUCUGGAUUGUAAACACUUACUUUAUUCCUUGUACCGCACUUCAAGGUUCCUCUUUCAAAAACUCUAUGUUAUGAUCCCAAGACAUUUGUUUGUACAUGGUAUUCUGUGUAUGUAAAGAUUUUUAUUUGAAAACAUCAUCUUUGUCAUCAAAAUAAAUACAGGUUUAAAGG